UAACUUGUGAAAAUCUCUGUUGCUCGGAUGUUUUGCUCAUACAUAGCCUGGUUUCUUGUCUCGCGUCAUUAAUGGGUGCCACUCUCAAUGAACAUUGAAUACAUACUUACAGUUUUAUUUGAUCUUUCUACUCACUCAUUGUUUGUUAUAUUCUACAUUAAGGAAACAGGCUUUACUGCAUAUGUAAUCUACAAAUAUUCUGGAUACUAGAUUUUUUUUUUUUUUUUGCCUUUGCCUGAAUUGAAAUAAAAAGAGUAGAUAGCAUGUGGAAUGGACCAUUAGGCAUCAGCAUUAGUAUUCACAUUUUCAACGGAUGAUUACCAAACGAUAAGGCAGAUUGUCACAUUUGCAGUCUUUCUUGUCAUUUUAAUUGUGUUGUCUCUUUAUCUGCAAAAGUGAAUUGCUAGCCCUUGUGUUAGAUGACCUCCAAAAGUUAAGAAAAUAUUGAGAAUUAUACACGACUUCCUUAGAAUCAUAAGUUGUUUGCUAUGUCUGCUUAGGCACCAGGUAUCUGUUCUUUUAAUUGUUUCUUGUCUGAUUUGCAUGAAUAGCCCCUAAUCAACGAGAAGAAGGUAAGCUUUAUAUCUGUCUUUUGUGUUACUUCCUAAAUUUAGAGUAAUAUAUGGAACCAUACAAACUUGUACUUGCUCCAAAUCUCUUAUUCCCAUAAGCAUUUUAUGCUUAUUUUCAUUGAGUUUGCUACCCGUGGUUUAGGACUGAAAUGCAACAUCUUAAAAAAUCUUGUAUAGCUAGCAAGACAUUCUCAGUGAAACAGAAGAAAGGAAAAGCUUUGAAAGGCAUGUGGAUUUCUUCCAUUUAUAAGGGAGGGGCUGCCAUUUGAUGGCUUGGAUACUCCUAGUUGAAGUGUGCGAUUGUAAUUGAUUGGUAGCAUGGCAUUGAAAAUUAUUGGCAUUGUAUCCAUUAUAUCUACGAUAAUUAGCUCAUAAUAAGAA